CUGUGCACCCCUAUGGAAAAUUUAUGUCCCUAAUUUGUUGAAGUGUUAUGGUAUACUAAUUGUUUAAAUGAUUAUACCAUUGAGACCCAUUUUCCAUAUAUACAAACAUGCUUUAUAGCUCAAAUACAGCCAGACUAUGGACCCUAUCACGCCAUGAGCAUAUUUGUUCUACAACAUCAUAGAAGUGUGCGUUUGUCUCACCUAAGAACAUACGGUGACAAAGAAACACAGUAGUAGCUUGCUCUUCUCCAUCCACCCAAUGCAGUAUGGACCACACUAGUAAAGCUAUGGAUUCUCUUUUCCUCUUCCAGUGAAAGCUUGUGACAGAGCUGCAGCUCAUCCUUUGGCAGGUUCACCUGCUUCACAAUAGCACCACUAUUAUAGAAGUUGACAAGCCUCCUACGUACUGAUGGGAUUGCUGUUGUGGAUGAGAUUGAGGGAGAAGAUGAAGAGAGAGAAAGAUAGAUUUUAGAUGGAGAUAGAGAUAGAAAUGGUCAUUUCAUGUGGCACAGUUGUGUUUUUGAUGCUGCCAUUGGUGCAGCAGAGGCCAGGAGAGGCUGACCUCUCCUCUCAGGCGUGCUGUAAAAAGGGGUGCAACGAACAAGUGGUCUUUACUGUGGCAUGUUUGGAUUGUGUGGUGUGUGUUCCCUAUCUUCCAACUGCUGCCUCUUCUCACUACCAUAUAUCCUUUUUCACCAUCCAGGAUUAAGUGGAAACUAUUAUUAUUCACUGCACGUGCCCUCCCUUCCCCCACCUGCUUACCAUGGUAGAAAUUAAUAAGAGUAAAAUUUUGUGGAAGGAUUCAUGUUCUUGUUAUACUAGAAUUAAAGUAUCAGGCUUCGUUUGGGACGGUUUUCUUACUGUUUCUUAAACCAGCUUUCAAGUAAUUUUUGUACUAAAAAACUGAUUUUAGAAGCAGUAAGAAAACAGUCCCAAACGAAACCUCAGUAGCAUUUUUAGUAGAUUUGGUUGCAAAAUAUUACAUGGUUGCCAUUGUGAAAACAUGUGAAGAAAACGUUGGGUUUCCACUUGUGCUAAUAAAAUAUAUAAAUAGAUGGUCCUCUA